rnacentral:rRNA from 1 species
AUUGAACGCUGGCGGCAGGCCUAACACAUGCAAGUCGAGCGGAGCGGCGGACGGGUGAGUAAUGCCUAGGAAUCUGCCUGGUAGUGGGGGAUAACGUCCGGAAACGGGCGCUAAUACCGCAUCCUAUCAGAUGAGCCUAGGUUGGAUUUGCUAGUUGGGGGGGUAAAGGCCUACCAAGGCGCCGAUCCGUCACUGGUCUGCGAGGAUGAUCAGUCACACGUGAACUGAGACAGGGUCCAGACGCCUACGGGAGGAAGCGGUGGGGAAUAUUGGACAAUGGGAGAAAGCCUGAUCCGGCCAUGCCACGUGUGUGAAGAAGGUCUUCGGAUUGUAAAGCACUGUAAGUUGGGAGGCGUUACCAACAGAAUAAGCACCGGCUAACUUCGUGCCAGCAGCCGCGGUAAUUC